CGGACGUUAGCCGCGGACGGGUGAGUAACACGUGGGCAACCUGCCCCAUAGACUGGGACAACUCCGGGAAACCGGAGCUAAUACCGGAUAAUCCCUUUCUCCACCUGGAGAGAGGGUGAAAGAUGGCUUCGGCUAUCACUAGGGGAUGGGCCCGCGGCGCAUUAGCUAGUUGGUAAGGUAACGGCUUACCAAGGCAACGAUGCGUAGCCGACCUGAGAGGGUGAUCGGCCACACUGGGAUUGAGACACGGCCCAGACUCCUACGGGAGGCAGCAGUAGGGAAUCUUCCGCAAUGGACGAAAGUCUGACGGAGCAACGCCGCGUGAGUGAGGAAGGCCUUCGGGUCGUAAAGCUCUGUUGUGAGGGAAGAAGCGGUACCGUUCGAAUAGGGCG
rnacentral:rRNA from 2 species